ACUCCAUGAAGAAUGGCUUAAAUUUUGCUCUCUAGAAAACAUGCAGUUAAAAUUUAUUGUGAAAAAAACACAUGUGGGACAACAAGCUUGCUAACAGUUGAAUGUAUAUGUCUCCCCCGGAUACAUGUGUUAAAGUCCAAAAAUCCCCAAUGUGGUGUUAUUUAGGGAUGGGGCCUUUGGGAGGUAAUUAGGGUUCAAGUUAGUCAUGAGGUCAGGAUCGUCACAAUGGGUUUAGCACUUUAUAAGGAGACACUAGAAAGCUUGCCCUCUCUUUCUCUCCACCAUGUGAGGACAUGGUGAGAAGACAGCCAUCUCCAAGCCAGAAAGAGCCCUCACCAGAACACAACCAUGUGGACACCCUGAUCUCAUAGUCCCAGCCUACGAAACUGUGAGAAAAUACAUUUCUCUUGUUUAAUCUAUGACAAUUCAUUAUGGUAGCCUGAGGUGACUAAUAUAGAACUAAUGGGGAAAAAAUUAACAGAUGUCAUUUAUAAGCAACAUCUGUAGUAAUGAGAUUGUAUCUGUGACUUCUGGUUUUCAUCCAUGACUGGGCUCUGAGAGUGUCUGACGAUUACUCUGUGACUGCUUGUCCUUCACACACUCCUGAAUGGUGAUGCAUUUUCCCCACAGUGACAAUUGCUGAAAGGAAACAUUCUAAAUGUUGGUGACUCAGGCAAUCACUUACAGUGUGUAUUUCCCAUCUGUCUUGUAUAUUAGAACAAAUUGUGUCUCCAGAACUCAAAUCGUGCCUCUAGAAAGAGCUAUAUUAGCUGUUUCCCUUUGACUGGAAGGUAGGUGCGACCAUGCUUCAGGAAUUGUGGCCAAAUGAUGAUAUGAAUGAGACUGGAUUCUCCAGUAGAAAAUGGACUUGGCCUCAAGAGUCUUGCUCUGUCACCCAAGCUGGAGUGCAAUGGUGUGAUCUCGGCUCACUGCAACCUCUGCCUCCCAGGUUAGAGCGAGUCUUCUGUUUCAGCCUCUGGAGUAGCUGGGAUUAUGGGACAGGAAAUAGACGAAACCACCCAACUGAGCUCAAGUCCAAGACAGCCAAUAAUAUCACACACAGAGUUAUCCCAUCCAUCCCAAGGAGAGAAUGCCAAUCUGUGAGUGUCUUCUCUUGGACCUAGAAUUAAAGAGCAGGUAGUUGGUUCCUUUUCUUUUUUUGUUCUCCAAAACCAAAUAAAUAAACUUGCUUUUAUUGUUUGUAGGGGCCUGCUAUAAAGAAACUUCAGUUUGGCAGAAGUCUGGUUACAGGAGUGUGUAGUAAAGAUGCCUAAUGCGGUAGAAGCCUGUGUGCGGAUGGACCAGGAAGAAUUAAAUAGAGCUGCCAUAAAACACUCUUCCUAGCCAGAGGUCAAGUAUAUAACAAUUCACAUGAGGAACUUGUACUUUAUGACAAAGACAAAAGAAACUGCUACCGCAAACAAAUUUGCUUAUGUAAGCUUGCUGGGUCUGACAGCAAAAACUAAAACAUAGGCAUGUUAUCAUUUAGAAAUGUUCAUAGGAUCACCUAAUAAAAGUUACAGUUAUAGAGCAUUUAUUAUAUAAUACUGACAGCACUAAAUAGGAAAAGCAAUAAAUAGAAUAGGGACAAAAUGAUAUCCAGAG
rnacentral:lncRNA from 1 species